UUAGAUUCAGGAGAAUUUUCAAACUUGUGGAAUAAUCUCACAACAUCAGAAGCAAAACUUUUGGCGAGUUUUUAAACAGGAGCAUUUCCAAACUUAUGAAAUGAUCUAACAACAUCACGGUAAAAACAUUUGGCGACUUUUACAAACAGGAGAAUUUCCCAACUUGUGAAAUAGUCUCACAACAUCAGAAGAAAAAGUUUGGCGACUUUUAUAAACAGGUAAAUUCGAUGGACUG